GGCGCUAUAGCCAAGUGGUUACGGCGACAGAUUCGAAUCUCAAGUCGAAAUCUGUUCCUCUUUGAGGGCGCAGGUUCAAAUCCUGCUGGCGUCG